GAUGAACGCUGGCGGCGUGCCUAAUACAUGCAAGUCGAGCGAACGGACGAGAAGCUUGCUUUUCUGAUGUUAGCGGCGGACGGGUGAGUAACACGUGGAUAACCUACCUAUAAGACUGGGAUAACUUCGGGAAACCGGAGCUAAUACCGGAUAAUAUUUUGAACCGCAUGGUUCAAAAGUGAAAGACGGUCUUGCUGUCACUUAUAGAUGGAUCCGCGCUGCACUAGCUAGUUGGUAAGGUAACGGCUUACCAAGGCAACGAUGCAUAGCCGACCUGAGAGGGUGAUCGGCCACACUGGAACUGCGACACGGUCCAGACUCCUACGGGAGGCAGCAGUAGGGAAUCUUCCGCAAUGGGCGAAAGCCUGACGGAGCAACGCCGCGUGAGUGAUGAAGGUCUUCGGAUCGUAAAACUCUGUUAUUAGGGAAGAACAUAUGUGUAAGUAACUGUGCACAUCUUGACGGUACCUAAUCAGAAAGCCACGGCUAACUACGUG
rnacentral:rRNA from 1 species